UAUUUAACAUGAAACUUUGCUUGGGGAACCAUGGGUGGCAGGCUGGUUGAUAUGCAAGCUGAAGGAGAGAGAAGCUAUGAGAGUGAGCUGGAACAGCAGCUGGAGAGAGAGCUGAGGAUGGAGGAGCAAACAGCAACAGCAGAAGGUCUCCAUGGUGACUUCACAACAAUAGCUCUAUCAUCAUGGCAGGGGAAAUGAAGUUUUACCCAGCAUACCCAACGGGAUGACGCUUCACAUGUCUGCACACAAACAAUGACAACACUUCUGUAAAUAUAGUCACAUCCAUUUUUGAUACUGUGAAUGGACUGAGAGUAUGAAGAAUCUAAAACACCACCAGUGCCAUAAAAUCCAAAAAGAUUUGAGCAUUAUUUUCUUUACUUUUUGUGAAUGUGUGCACUACUAAAAGUACUUUAUAUCCAAAAUAUCCAGAGAUGGGCAAAUAAGGUCAAACAAAGCUGCUGUCUAUACAAAUAAGUAAUAUGUCACUCCUCAAUUAAGGCCAAACUUAUUCACCAGCCUUUAUUGAACGUUGAAAAUGUCAAGCUGUUUGACUUUGGUUUGAGAUUUUAUUGUAGUAUUUGACAUGGAAAUCCCCAAAACUACACUGCCUUAUUUAAUCAGGUUAUCAUUCAAAAAUUGUAUUGAUUUUCUAAUUUAAAAUAAUGUUGCACAUAAUUAUGGGAUGGUGUACUUUACAUCUUUGAAACACUGGUUUGCCAUGCCAUUUUACACUGGAACACAAGUUUGUGUGUAAUUAUUUUACUCGCUUAAUUUAAAAUGUUUUGGGAUUUCAGCACCACAUUGCCAUUUGC
ensembl:lncRNA